rnacentral:rRNA from 1 species
GCUUGCUUCUGAUACUUAGUGGCGGACGGGUGAGUAAUGCUUAGGAAUCUGCCUAGUAGUGGGGGAUAACUUGGGGAAACCCAAGCUAAUACCGCAUACGACCUACGGGUGAAAGGGGGCUUUUAGCUCUCGCUAUUAGAUGAGCCUAAGUCGGAUUAGCUGGUUGGUGGGGUAAAGGCCUACCAAGGCGACGAUCUGUAGCUGGUCUGAGAGGAUGAUCAGCCACACUGGGACUGAGACACGGCCCAGACUCCUACGGGAGGCAGCAGUGGGGAAUAUUGGACAAUGGGCGAAAGCCUGAUCCAGCCAUGCCGCGUGUGUGAAGAAGGCCUUUUGGUUGUAAAGCACUUUAAGUGGGGAGGAAAAGCUUAUGGUUAAUACCCAUAAGCCCUGACGUUACCCACAGAAUAAGCACCGGCUAACUCUGUGCCAGCAGCCGCGGUAAUACAGAGGGUGCAAGCGUUAAUCGGAAUUACUGGGCGUAAAGCGCGCGUAGGUGGUUAUUUAAGUCAGAUGUGAAAG